UACGAAGGGUGCAAGCGUUACUCGGAAUUACUGGGCGUAAAGGGCGCGUAGGCGGCCUGUUAAGUCGAACGUGAAAUCCCCGGGCUCAACCCGGGAACUGCGUCCGAUACUGGCAGGCUUGAAUCCGGGAGAGGGAUGUGGAAUUCCAGGUGUAGCGGUGAAAUGCGUAGAUAUCUGGAGGAACACCGGUGGCGAAGGCGGCAUCCUGGACCGGUAUUGACGCUGAGGCGCGAAAGCCAGGGGAGCAAACGGG
rnacentral:rRNA from 1 species